GGCGGACGGGUGAGCAACGCGUGGGUAACCUGCCUUACACAGGGGGAUAACACUUAGAAAUAGGUGCUAAUACCGCAUAAGCGCACAUGGCCGCAUGGCCAGGUGUGAAAAACUCCGGUGGUAUAUGAUGGACCCGCGUCUGAUUAGCUAGUUGGUGAGGUAACGGCCCACCAAGGCGACGAUCAGUAGCCGGCCUGAGAGGGUGGACGGCCACAUUGGGACUGAGACACGGCCCAAACUCCUACGGGAGGCAGCAGUGGGGGAUAUUGGACAAUGGGGGGAACCCUGAUCCAGCGACGCCGCGUGAGUGAAGAAGUAUCUCGGUAUGUAAAGCUCUAUCAGCAGGGAAGAAAGAAAUGACGGUACCUGAGUAAGAAGCCCCGGCUAACUACGUGCCAGCAGCCGCGGUAAUACGUAGGGGGCAAGCGUUAUCCGGAAUUACUGGGUGUAAAGGGAGCGUAGACGGUGAUGUAAGUCUGGAGUGAAAGGCGGGGGCCCAACCCCCGGACUGCUCUGGAAACUAUAUGACUGGAGUGCAGGAGAGGUGAGCGGAAUUCCUAGUGUAGCGGUGAAAUGCGUAGAUAUUAGGAGGAACACCAGUGGCGAAGGCGGCUCACUGGACUGUAACUGACGUUGAGGCUCGAAAGCGUGGGGAGCAAACAGGAUUAGAUACCCUGGUAGUCCACGCCGUAAACGAUGAUCACUAGGUGUGGGUGGGUAUGGACCCAUCGGUGCCGCAGCAAACGCAGUAAGUGAUCCA
rnacentral:rRNA from 1 species